rnacentral:rRNA from 1 species
CCCUUAGAUGUUCUGGGCUGCACGCGCGCUACACUGAUGUACUCAACGAGUUUUCGACCUUGCCUGGAAAGGUUGGGUAAUCUUGUUAAAAUGCAUCGUGAUGGGGAUAGAUUAUUGCAAUUAUUAAUCUUCAACGAGGAAUUCCUAGUAAGCGCGAGUCAUCAGCUCGUGCUGAUUACGUCCCUGCCCUUUGUACACACCGCCCGUCGCUCCUACCGAUUGAGUGGUCCGGUGAAUAAUUCGGACUGCAGCAAUGUUUGGAUCCCGAACGUUGCAGCGGAAAGUUUAGUGAACCUUAUCACUUAGAGGAAGGAGAAGUCGUAACA